UUUUUUUUUUUUUUUUGAGACAGGGUCUCACACCGUCACCCAGGCGGGAGUGCAGUGGCACAGUCACAGCUCACUGCCGCCUCAACCUCCCGAGCUCAGGUGAUCCUCCCACCUCAGCCCCCUGAGUAGCUGGGACUACAGACACCCUCCUCUAUGCCUGGCUAAUUUUUGUAUUUUUUAUAGAGACAGAGUUUUGCCAUGUUCCCCCAGGCAGGUCUCAAACUCCUGGGCUCUAAUUAUCCACCCCCCUCGGCCUCCCAAAGUGUUAGGAUUAUAGGCGUGAGCCACUGCACCCAGCCUUUUCUUUUCCGAUGAAUAUACAAAUUUAAAACAAAUAGAGAUGGGGUCUCAUUAUAUUGCCCAGGCUGGUCCCGAACUCUUUAACUCAAGCUAUCCUCCCACCUCGGCCUUCCGAAGUGCUAGGAUUACAGGCAUGGGCCACCUCGCCUGACCGUUCUUGUUUCUUGAGCAUGUGAAACACACUCCCACCUUAGGGUCUCUGCGUCUGCUGUUCCUUCUGCCUGGAACACUUGUCCCUGUAAUAUCCACAUGACCCGCUCCCUCUCCUUCUUCAGGUCCUUACCACUCUGCCCAUAAUGGCUGUCUCCUUAAACUGCUUUAUUUUUGUUCUCACAAUCAUCUGACCUGCAUUUGUCUGUAUUUGUUUAUGUGUUUGUCUGCCUCCUCCUGCUCAGUUUAAGUUCCACGAGAACAGGAUCUCAUCUGUUUUUGUCCACUGCUGUGUCUUUAGCACCUGGCAGGUAGUAAAUGCUUAGUGAAUAUAUUUGUUGAAUGUUUUAAGCUAUAGCUACUAACCUGAUCCCCAUUCUCUAAGCAGAGGACAUUGAGGCACUGAGAGGUUACGUAACUUGCCCAGUGGCUUACAUAUCCACACACUCAGAGAUGCUAUGAGCCAAGUUUUGAAUCCAGACGAAGCUCUCCUAAUCACUCCACCUACUGCCCCAUGUGCGUGUAAUGGGCAGUCAGUAGAUAUUGCUACAACUUGUCACUGAUGUUGAUUAAGAACUCUGGUCUCAAGUAGUAAAGGGGCUACCUCAGGCAAGGAAUAUCAGGAUUGGCUUGGGAACAGAAGCUCUUUAGUGUGGGUGUGCCUCAGUGUCCAUGGGGUCUCCUGGGGAUGCCUGUGCCUGGGCUGGGGAAGCCUAGGAACUAAACUCUAGGGUGGUCAUUUUUAGGUUUGUUAAUUCAUUAGCGUCCUCUUCAGAUAUUCCCCGGGACUCUACAGGGAGUGGAAUUUAUCCAGGGGCUUUUAGGCCUGAGUGGGCCAGGCUGGCCCUGCCUAGUGUGGGAGGUCAGGGGCCC
ensembl:lncRNA